rnacentral:rRNA from 1 species
GACGAACGCUGGCGGCGUGCUUAACACAUGCAAGUCGAACGGAAAGGCCCUGCUUUUGUGGGGUGCUCGAGUGGCGAACGGGUGAGUAACACGUGAGUAACCUGCCCUUGACUUUGGGAUAACUUCAGGAAACUGGGGCUAAUACCGGAUAGGAGCUCCUGCUGCAUGGUGGGGGUUGGAAAGUUUCGGCGGUUGGGGAUGGACUCGCGGCUUAUCAGCUUGUUGGUGGGGUAGUGGCUUACCAAGGCUUUGACGGGUAGCCGGCCUGAGAGGGUGACCGGCCACAUUGGGACUGAGAUACGGCCCAGACUCCUACGGGAGGCAGCAGCGGGGAAUAUUGCACAAUGGGCGGAAGCCUGAUGCAGCAACGCCGCGUGCGGGAUGACGGCCUUCGGGUUGUAAACCGCUUUCGCCUGCGACGAAGCGUGAGUGACGGUAAUGGGUAAAGAAGCACCGGCUAACUACGUG